rnacentral:rRNA from 1 species
CGCGUAGGCGGAUAUAUAAGUCAGAUGUGAAAUUCCGGGACUCAAUUCCGGAGCUGCAUUUGAAACUAUAAAUCUCGAGGAUUGGCGGAGAGAACGGAAUUCCACGUGUAGCGGUGAAAUGCGUAGAUAUGUGGAAGAACACCGGUGGCGAAAGCGGUUCUCUAGCUUAUACCUGACGCUGAGGCGCGAGAGCAAGGGGAGCAAACA